rnacentral:lncRNA from 1 species
CUGCCAUAAAAAACUAGUUGUCUCAUUUCGUCGUCAUUGCUUCAUAAGACAUCCUUAGAAGGGCCAACUGUAUAUAGGCGACAUAAUUAUAGGAAGAAGGCAAUCAACAGGUAUGGAGCAAACGAGGUGUUUUUAACAUGAAUUGAAAUGAAUUAGAAAGGUUUGAUCCGUUGAGAGAAUUAAUCUAUGCAGCAUAAUUUUCAUUGAACUUUGUUUGUUUAUGGAGGAAGAAGGAAAUUUUAGUUCGAAAAUCAAUUACCGGGAUGAGAAAGCCCAUUUUUGACAACAUGGGGUAGGUCGAAGUUUAUGCCCCGGAGGUGGUGGUGCUUGGAGAGUAUAAGCUUAAGGCAUUCGCCAACACCGCCGCCAACGUCGACAACUGUUUUGGCAUUCUCGAAUCCAGGGUAAGUGUCCAUGAAUUUGCCCAUGAAAAUGGUAGACAUACACUUCAUGGCAUUGUUGAAGUAGCUGUUGUACCUCGGGUCUGUCCCGGUGUAGUCAAAGAGGGUCGUACCGUUCGCCAGCUUGAAAGGGUCGCCUUCUCCCUCAAUCACUGCAUCUUUUAAGUAAAACCUGCAGAGCAAGCAUUCAUGUACAAACCCCAAUUAAUAACGUUUCCGUCUUGUGAUAAAAAAGAUCUUCACUCUCUAAUAUUGUCAAUAAUGCACAGACAGCUAUAUAUAUGUGAAGAUGACUCAUGUUGAUGUGCUUGAUGCAUUUAAUAGUCAUCACAUUACUUCUUCGAAAUGUUUUACGGCAUUCUCAUAUAUUCAACAAAACUGAAAUUUAACUUCAAGUAUCAAGCUAAUCAAUUUUGCACGAAAUGGGAACGGGAUAUUAUUGCAUGAACUUAACUAGCGAACAUGGUGAGUCCCACAUAAUGUGACUGUCCGAAUUCAUUUAUUUACGUACCAUGAUCUCAAGGAAACCUCGUCAAAGAGCAUAAGCAACCAGGGCGCCAUGCUAGCCCCUUCCUCAUUCACGUAGUACUUGCUCAAGGGGCCCAGGCUAUAAAUCCUCUCAGGCCGCCCGGCUUUGUCCUGCGUGAGGGUGCACGAGAGGAAAGAGAAGCUGGCGAGCAAACGCAGGAUGCGGUCGAUGGCAACACCGGCAUCAGGGUUCUUGAUGGAGAGGCGGGACGCGAUCUGAGUGGGCGAGAGCUGAGCAGAGCUCUCGGACAAGAGCUUGAGGAUGCCGAGCUCGAUGGUGGCCUUCAAGAUCAGGGGAACGCACGAGAUCAUGUUUUGUUUGAUAGCGGACAAGUACUCUUCGUCUUCUUGGGCGGUAGUGACCGCUAGGGUUUCGGCCGAACUCAUGUUUCCUGAAUUUUUUUCUUUCUCAGGUUCUUUUCAAUUUUGCACAGUAGGAGAGAUUGCGCUUUGUAGUGGGAAGUUGAGAGGACUAAGACGUUGUUUGAAAAGAGCGCAACGAUGGAGCCGCUUUUAUAAGGUAACUGAUGAGCUGUGUGUCAUGCUAGGUUUCACAGGUUCUUUAUUUUUUCUAUAGAAAAAAUAGCCCUCAUCACCCUACCAUAUUCCGAGAUUUUACACACGGAAGAGUCACAGAGUACGAGAUUCGGAUGGAUAUGUACGGUUGUUACCCUUGAAAAAUCAUUAAAAGAACUCGCUUUCUGCUAAGGAGAGAACGGGUGGCAUAGCUCUACAUAAGUUUUAGUGAAAUGCCAAUACCUUACCAAAGAAAAUAGGCUGCCUAUUAUACCCACCAGAUCUUGUCCAAUGUUGUAGUUAUCAUUAUCAUGCUAUACCAAAUACCGCUGAUCUACGACGGAAAGAUAGAAAGUAUCGCAGCCACUGGAUCAAAUGCAAACCUCUCCUUUUCUUCCACCAACUACUCUAAUGACACGUUCCUAUGGGUUGGUACGAUAAUAGAUUAUAUUGUCCUGCUUCAAGAGUAUACCCUAAAAGUUUAGUAAGAAAGAAAAUUAUGUGCCCAAAUUCUAGAAAAUUGUUUGAACUAUAACUGAUAAGUAGUAGUUAUUUAAUUGUGUAGAUUCUAGUUCUACAUAUAUUUUGCUAUCUUUAACAAACAAUUGCUUUUUACCUCGUAUUAGAAUAAAGUUUGGUAAGCAUAACUCCACGAUUUCUCAGCAUAGCGUUUAGCAUUUUAUGAUUUUCUAUUGACCCAUAAAUACAUAGACACGCAUAUGUUUCAAACUAGAUACGAUUUAAAUGAUACUAAGCCAACUUUAUGGGCGGUUGCAUCUUAUUCUUCACUUUCAGCAUUUUCAAUCUCUAGAUGGUAACAUUUGUACAAUCUUAUUCCCUUACAAUGCACGUCGCGGGUGAAUUGAUCAAUCACUAUGGGGGAAAAUUAUCUAAAAAAUCCUAAACCUAUUUUGCAACCAGCAUCCUAUGUGAUAUGGUUAGAUGAAAAAGGAAAGAAAUAAAAGCAAAAGAAAAAUUCGAAAAUAUCAUUAAAAUAUUUUGAAAAUUUUAAGAAAAUAUAUAAUUGUCCAUUCCGGUGCUGACCUUGCCAUAUAAGAUGGCUGACAUCGACUAGACAAUCAAGUCGGCAAUUUCCAACCAAAAUUGGCUAGAAAGACUAAAUUGACAAAUUGUUAAAAUGUUCAUGACUAGAUUAGUAAAUCAUCAAAACAUUUAGAACUAAAUUAAAAUAAGUAUAAAGUUUGUGACCAAACUAGUGAGUUGCUGACAUAUUUGGCACUAGAUUGGUAAAAUUGAAUUAACUAUCGUACAAUAGGUUUAUGAUUUUUGAAUAAUUUUUCAAUUCACUUGAGAACCUUAAAUAGGUUAAGAACCUUGAAGAGCCUACAGACCUAUAUAAGGAUAUUCUCACAUGUUUCGUUCCACAGCCGCCCUCACCUAUAGAACCUUGUAGCCGUCAUUCAACAACCAAGAUAACCUACUUGUCCCCAACCUGAAUAGCCUCUAGAUGGUAACAUUUGCACAAUCUCAUUCCCUUACAAUGCACGUAGCGGGUGAAUUGAUCAAUCACUAUGGGGAAAAUUAUCUAAAAAAUCUUAAACCUAUUGUACAACCAGCAUCCUAUGUGAUUCGGUUAGAUGAAAAGGGAAAGAAAUAAAAGAAAAAGAAAAAAUCGAAAAUGUCAAUAAAAUAUUUUGAAAAUUUUAAGAAAAUAUAUAAUUGUCCAUUCCGGGCUGACCUUGCCAUAUAAGAUGGCUGACGUCGACUAGACAAUCAAGUCGGCAAUUUUCAACCAAAAUUGGCUGGAAAGACUGAAUUGACAAAUUAUUAAAAUGUUCAUGACUAGAUUAGUAAAUCAUCAAAACAUUUAGAACUAAACUAAGUAUAAAGUUUGUGACUAAACUAGUGAGUUGCCUACAUAUUUGGCACUAGAUUGGUAAAAUUAAAAAGUUUAAAAUUGAAUUAACCGGCGUACAAUAGGUUUAUGAUUUUUGAAUAAUUUUCCAAUUCACUUGAGAACCUUAAACAGGUUAAGAACUUUGAAUAGCCUACAGACAUAUAUAAGGAUAUUCUCACAUGUUUCGUUCCACAACCGCCCUCACCUAUAGAACCUUGUAGCCGUCAUUCAACAACCAAGAUAACCUACUUGUCCCCAACCUGACUAGCCUAUGGCGCUGCCCCUAAUCUUCUCAUCAAAUAUAUAAUUAUAUAAAUAUCCACAUAUGUCGAAUGAAGUCUCACAUUUAUGGUGCCAAACUAGGGCCCCCUAGAUUAGAUUAAGUGGGAAAACAUAGUUGAUUUUGAACAAGGAUCGUUCACAGCCAAAGAAAUCGCUCCUACAUGUGACAAGUCAACCUUCUUUUACAUUUGUAUUUUUCUUUCACUGAUCCUAAUCUCAUGGUACACGCACUUUGACUAUUAUUUAACUCACGACGUUUAUGACAUAAGUUCAGUUAUAAUUUAUUUAUUUUUUAAUUUCGACUAUGACGAGAAUUAAAGAAAAAAUACUUUUGCUUUAAGUGGAAACAAACUAGCUCAAAAGGUAGGAUUAUGUAGAUUGGCAAGCUUGCAGGAAGAUUCAAUAUGAAAUUAGAUUAAAGGGCAAAAAUUUGACCCAAAAAAAAAGAGAUUAAAGGCCAAAAAGGGGAAAAUCAAAGAGGUAUAUAUAAAUAUUUUGACUAGACUGAUUUUCUUAAAAACACUCAAACAAUUUAAUCCGCAUAUAACAAACAAGGAUUUUGCUAUAUCAUGCAGGUUUUGACCAUCUCAAAGUUACAUUGAAUGGUUAGAUCGUGAUUUUGAAUAACAGAUGUGUCAUGUCCAUAUCAAUUACUCAUGUAUACGACUUGACUUUCAAUAAUUAAGUCAACUCCUGGGAUUAAAAAUUAGGGUUGCUAUGAGAAAUCAUUUCUUUCUCGAUUGCUCAAGAAGGUGCAAUACAUCUGUUCGGCGGUUACAAGAACGGCCGAGAAGUGAACAGUUCCAGAUAAUUAUUCAUUCGACAUCUUGAUAGCUCAAGCGCCCACAUGUUGAGGACCUGGCAGCCCACUUUCGGGGAGCUGAACCCGGCCGCGUGGGCCACGACCUCGACUUCCCUCAGCGUCCGAUCUUUCCCUCCUGGAGGCAAUGCCAGCAUGACCAUAUCGGAAGUGAACGUGGCCCGGGUCACUAGGUCCGUCCCUGGGUAUUCCGGGCUGACUGGGUCUAUGAUCACCACCUUGCCCGAUGCCGGCAACGCCUUCCAGCAUUUCUUCAGGAGCUGUAUGCCAAACUCGUCCGUGAAACUAUGGAAUUGCCACUGCAAAAAAACAGCAAACAAUCAAAAUCAAUUAAGACUCCCGAUCGCCAAUCUGUCCUAAACAAAAUGCUCGUACAUUGGAACUGUCUUAAGCUAUGUCCAUUAAUGCAAAAUCAAUUAAAAUCAAUUAGAGAAAUCAUGUUCAAAUGAAUUAUAAGCUACGUAAUUUUACACGUUUCUUUUCAUCUCAUUUCCGGGAGCUUGAGUGCUAAACAAUUAAUCCAAAGUAACUUCGUUAAGAGGAUGUCUCCUUUUGGGAUGGGAUCAUCCACAAAGCUCCCUCCUACAUUCUCCAAACCUGCCAUAAAAAACUAGUUGUCUCAUUUCGUCGUCAUUGCUUCAUAAGACAUCCUUAGAAGGGCCAACUGUAUAUAGGCGACAUAAUUAUAGGAAGAAGGCAAUCAACAGGUAUGGAGCAAACGAGAUGUUUUUAACAUGAAUUGAAAUGAAUUAGAAAGGUCCGAUCCGUUGAGAGAAUUAAUCUAUGCAGCAUAAUUUUCAUUGAACUUUGUAUGUUUAUAGAGGAAGUAAGAAAUUUUAGUUCGAAAAUCAAUUACCGGGAUAAGAAAGCCCAUUUUUUACAACAUGAGGUAGAUCGAAGUUUAUGCCCUGGAGGUGGGGGUGCUUGGAGACUAUAAACUUAAUGUAGAAUAUUAUUCUCAUAAACAAUUAAUCAAUUAAGAACAAACGGAUCCAUACAUGAUUGUAAAACACCGAGAUCAAUAAAUAUAGCGGAAUUAAAGCGUACCUGUUUGAGCAAUUGCUUUACUUGAAGAAAACUAGAUCACUCUGAUAAUCAGGGAUCUAUUGGAAUACCAGAUCUUCCUCUUUAUGACCUAUUUCGGUAUAGCAGCUUUCAAUAGGAUUAAAGCAACUGAUAGGUAUAACCUACCUUUUUAUAGGCUAGAGAGGGGACCUAGCAAACCCUAAUCAACAACUGGCCCUUCCUAUUACGGGCUUCAGUCAAAUACAAUUGCCUACACUUUGCUGCUCAACUAGGCCCGUUAACAAUAGAUGUCAAUACCCAAUUCAAUCAAAUCAUUUUAGGGUAUAAAAAAUAUUGGAAUAUCUAUUAACCCGAUUAUUUAAAAUAGAAAAUCAAUUAAUUAAUGUAAGCCCAUAUUAUAGGAAAUUUCCAACAUUCUCCCACUUGGGCUACAUUAAUUAACUUAUUUUAUUUUGAAAAAUAUUUUAUAUUGAAAACGACACUAUCGGGUUAAAAACUAAAAUUUUGUUUUAUGUGGCCACAACUUUUAAAAUAAUCCAAUAAUGGCAUCUCAAUACCAAUCAAAUCCUAUAUAACCUCAAUAUAGGACUAUGGAGAUCAAUGUGUUAAAAAAAUACCACAACACAAGACCUUCCAUAAUCACAUAUAAUAAGUAUUAUAUUUUCAUGGAUCAUGGGUCUAGUAGUGUACUAAAAAAUAGUGCCAAUAUGUGAUCAAGAUAUACACUAUUUCUUAUCGGUCCUCAAUGCAAUUUCUCAACGACAUGAAAUUACAUUAUCGCAAUUUCUAAACAACAUGAAAUUGCCUUAGUGUGAUUUCUAAACAACAUGAAAUUGCACAAUUAUGUCACAAUCCAACAUAAGAUCUCAUAAUCAGUGACAUCCAGUCAUCUUUAAACUAAAAUUUGUUUAAAGAUACUAUUUUAUAUUUCCAUUUCUCAGUCAACAGGAGAAAAAAUAACAAUAGAAUCAAUAACAACAAUCAUUGAAAAUAAAUGCUUUAAUAGACAUCAUAAAAGCAUUAUCAGUCUGCAUAUAACUAUAAUAUCCAGAAAUACAAACUAUAUAACUCCCACUAACAAAAGAAAUCAAAAGAUUCUAAAACACCCAUAUUCUUUACAUAUUCUUUAAACAAAAUGGGUCGUAAGCCUUUUGUUAGAGGAUCAGCCAACAUUGACUCAGUUAUGAUAUUUUCAAUUACAACGUCUCCAUUUUUGACCAAGUCCUUAAUAGUAUAAUAUUUGAUCCAAUUAACAUUUCAACCGUGACAUUGUUGUUAUUUAUAAGAAAAGUAAUUGUUUGUCACACAUAAUGCAAUAAGAUCAAUUAUGGGCAAUAAAUAUUUCAACAAAAAUAAUUAGUACAUUAUAAACUCCCCUUUGGGCAGAGUGUAUAAUGUACAAUUAUUUUUCACAGCAUGAAGUUUAUAAAGCAACAAUAAGGAGAAUUACAUAUAAUUGUCAAUGAUCCAUCCCCUUUGAGCAAACAAAUCCUUUAAAUUAUAUAUAUCUCUAUUAUCUCAACAUAGAGGGGAAUUACACACAACUCUAAAAAAUUUAUCCCCAUUAGGCAAAUAAACCUUUUGAGUCACACAUCCCCAUCAUUCAUCUCUAAUAUAUCAAUAUAAAGGGGAAUUACAUAUAACUUUCAAAAAUUUAUCCCCUUUGGGCAGAUAAACCUUUUUGAGUCAUACAUCCCCAUCUUUUAAUUUUGGAAUUUAUUUUCAUGCAAUUUUUAAAUUAAUAUACACAAUAACCCCCUUUGGGCAGGCAAUUGUAUAUACUAAUUUUUAUCAAUAAGGAACUUCAACAAAGUUUAUGCCCAAAAUUCAUCAAAUAAUAUGAAGCACUUUACAACAUGUGCUUCCCAAGAUCAUAUUGCAUUUAUCAAGCAACAAUUUUUCCCACAAAUUUUUUUUUUUUUUUUUUUUGGGGUCAGAAAGAUGGUUUUAAUCCAAAUCACCGAAUUAACCCAACAAAAGAAAAGAUAGGUGCCUCUAGCACUUCAAUCAACAUAUUUCGUAUUAAAUUUAAAUUACUCGUGCACCAAAUACCAAGGCACCCAAUUACUCCAGACAGGGAAAACAACCCACCAUUCUAUCACCUUUAGUUAAUAGGUCCUCAUGUUUAAAUUAAUAAAUUAAAGUCCCACUAGCAAUCUUAAGCACUCAUGUCAAAUCCCAAGUACAUAUAGGCAAGAGAUUAAGACAAAACAGCAAAUAGAAAAGUGAAUGUUGAUUCUGCAGCAAGAAUUGCAAUAUGUUAUGAAAGAUAGCAUCACUUCUGCAAUUUUUUUUUUAAAUGUUUCUGAAUUCAAUCUAUGAUAAUAAGUUACAAUAUCUGCUAUCACAAUGUCAAUUUAUGUGAGAGAGUGUGAAUAGAGUAAGAUCCCGUGCAUGGCGCAAGCAAUAUUGUUUGUUACUAGCAAAAAUCAAGAUUGAUAUAGAAGAAGAUCUCUAAUCCAAUUGCCCUCUUAAACUUACUUUCCCUUCUCUUCUACGCAAUGAUCGUUCACAUAAAAUACUAUCACAGACCAUUGCUUAUAGGGCAUAAUCGAAUGAGAAGUUCACCAUCCAUCAAAGAAAGCCAAGUUCAGCAAUCCAUAAGCAGUACCCACGAUUACCAUUAAUGGAAUUCAUCUAAAUUUCAUUGAAAAAACUGAUCUUGAAUUCGCCACAACGAGAGAAAACAUCACUAACGGUCUCCGAUUCCCACGGAAUCAUCCGCUUCCAUCUAGCUACAAAACGCCUCACACAAAACCAGAACUACUCAAGAAGCCAUCGUUCUAACUACUUUUCCCUACUACUCAGCCAAAACGGAUAUCCCAUAAAGAAUUAUCAAAUUAUACACUCAAUUCACACACAAAUCAAAAUCCCCGGCAAGCAUGCCACUUAUUCUCAUGCAAAACCGCCUGAAGUAAUAAAAUCCCUAGUCCCAGCAGCAUUAAAGUGCCAAAGAAGAACAAUACUCAAAAGUAAAUCCACAUCCGCACGCCACAUUGCAAACGAAGAACCACCUCAACGAAUCACAUUCCAAUCGAAUCCGAACUAAAAAAAAAAAAACCCAACUCCUUGACACCCGAAACAGGAGCCCUAGGGUUUCGCGAGGGGGCGCGGGACCGCGCCCAAUCACACAGUCCUUCUCGCGCGGUGAAUCGGACGUGCUCGUCGUCGGUGGGUUUCCGGCGUUUCAUGCAUGGAUCAUUAGAAAAAUUAAUAUUUUGAUGUCCAAUCUACUCAAUGUGAAUGCAUUAUUUUUAUUCAAUUAAACAAACACCGUCAGCUCCUCCCCCGCCAUAAACAUAGCCCCAGGACAUAAAAGAAUGAAGACCCUUCAUUCCACAAUUUCCAGAACAUUAAAAAAAAAAAAAAAAAAACUUCUGAUUUAAGAGAUCAACUUAACCCUUGAACAGGCACAAAAAAAAAAAAAAAUCUUUGCAAACCCAUCAUCCAAAAAACGCCGAAUGUCAGCAUCUAACGGGGUCAUUGCACCGAAACAAGAAUGCGAAACAUGCGCAUAAGAGGCUAUCAAUAGCAAAGCAAUCCAAAUCCAUACUUGUACCCCUCCCAUACCAAACCCAUCCAAGAAAAACCAAAUCGAUUAUCGAACGAUCACGCCAAAAUAAUCAUGUCACUGAAGGAACGAACAUGAAGCAAUGGUUUUCCAAAUUAAGAUUUCAAAAUCUAGAGAACGGAGAGGAAGAUGGGGGCUUACUUUAAUGCAACAAAAGGAUGCUAAAACACAUACAUAAAAAUACCCAUGCAACAAUUUACGACGAACAAGUAAUUUGAAAAUUCUAGAACUUUUUAGGUAUAAAGCCUAGAAUUUCAAAUUUAAAAUUCUCUCUCAGUUCUCAAUGAAAUUAUACAAAUUAUAUAUGAUUGGAAAGAUCUCGACAUGUAGAAAAAAAGCCUUAUGGUUUUAGGAUCAAUCAAGCAAAAAAAUCCACACGAAAGACAAUGCCCAUAUUUGGCUCAAAGAGGAAAAUUUCGAAUUUGUCCAUAAAAAUAUAAAAUUUGGGUUCUACAAUCAUAUAUGACUAGCUCUGAUACCGCAUGUAGAAUAUUAUUCUCAUAAAAAAUUGAUCAAUUAAGAACAAACGGAUCCAUACAUGAUUGUAAAACACCGAAAUCAAUAAAUACAGCAGAAUUAAAGCGUACCUGUUUGAGCCAUUGCUUUACUUGAAGAAAACUAGAUCACUCUGAUAAUCAAUGAUCUAUUGGAAUACCAGAUCUUCCUCUCUAUGACCUAUUUCGGUAUAGCAGCUUUCAAUGGGAUUAAAGCAACUGAUAGGUAUAACCUACCUUUUUAUAGGCUAGAGAGGGGACCUAGCAAACCAUAAUCAACAGUGUGUCAAUCGGGCCCUUCCCAUUACGGGCUUCAAUCAAAUACAAUUGCCUACACUUUGCUGCUCAACUAGGCCCGUUAACAAUAGAUGCCAAUACCCAAUUCAAUCAAAUCACUUUAAGGUAUAAAAAAUAUUGGAAUAUCCAUUAACCCGAUUAUUUAAAAUAGAAAAUCAAUUAAUUAAUGUAAGCCCAUAUUAUAGGAAAUUUCCAAAACUUAAGGCAUUUGCCGUCACCACCGCCGAUGUUGACAACCAUUUUGGCAUUCUCGAAUUCGCAAUAAGUGAC